UACGUAGGGUGCAAGCGUUAUCCGGAAUUAUUGGGCGUAAAGAGCUCGUAGGUGGUUUGUCACGUUGUUCGUGAAAACCCACAGCUCAACUGUGGGCGUGCGAGCGAUACGGGCAGACUAGAGUACUGCAGGGGAGACUGGAAUUCCUGGUGUAGCGGUGGAAUGCGCAGAUAUCAGGAGGAACACCGGUGGCGAAGGCGGGUCUCUGGGCAGUAACUGACGCUGAGGAGCGAAAGCGUGGGGAGCGAACAGG
rnacentral:rRNA from 1 species